ACUCCUACGGGAGGCAGCAGUGGGGAAUUUUGGACAAUGGGGGCAACCCUGAUCCAGCAAUGCCGCGUGUGUGAAGAAGGCCUUCGGGUUGUAAAGCACUUUUGUCCGGAAAGAAAUUGCUCUGGCUAAUACCUGGGGUAGAUGACGGUACCGGAAGAAUAAGCACCGGCUAACUACGUGCCAGCAGCCGCGGUAAUACGUAGGGUGCGAGCGUUAAUCGGAGUUACUGGGCGUAAAGCGUGCGCAGGCGGUUUUGUAAGACAGGCGUGAAAUCCCCGGGCUCAACCUGGGAAUUGCGCUUGUGACUGCAAGGCUAGAGUGCGUCAGAGGGGGGUAGAAUUCCACGUGCAGCAGUGAAAUGCGUAGAGAUGUGGAGGAAUACCGAUGGCGAAGGCAGCCCCCUGGGACGUGACUGACGCUCAUGCACGAAAGCGUGGGGAGCAAACAGGAUUAGAUACCCUGGUAGUCCACGCCCUAAACGAUGUCAACUAGUUGUUGGGGAUUCAUUUUCUCAGUAACGUAGCUAACGCGUGAAGUUGACCGCCUGGGGAGUACGGUCGCAAGGUUAAAACUGAAAGGAAUUGACGG
rnacentral:rRNA from 1 species